rnacentral:rRNA from 1 species
UAAACGAUGUCGAUUUGGAGGUUGUGCCCUUGAGGCGUGGCUUCCGGAGCUAACGCGUUAAAUCGACCGCCUGGGGAGUACGGCCGCAAGGUUAAAACUCAAAUGAAUUGACGGGGGCCCGCACAAGCGGUGGAGCAUGUGGUUUAAUUCGAUGCAACGCGAAGAACCUUACCUGGUCUUGACAUCCACAGAACUUUCCAGAGAUGGAUUGGUGCCUUCGGGAACUGUGAGACAGGUGCUGCAUGGCUGUCGUCAGCUCGUGUUGUGAAAUGUUGGGUUAAGUCCCGCAACGAGCGCAACCC